GAAUCCAAGGCAACGGAACGGCGGUCGCCUGGCAGCGGUGCGAAACUGACGAGGCGGUGCGCUGGCUGGCUCCCAAACCCAAACAAACAAAGUAUAUUGUAGCAUCUCUGACCUGCUAUUUCACCCAUCCUUCCUUGAAAUAUACAUAUAUACUCUCUUACUAAUGGUGUUUUUUUUUUACUUCAACAUUUGCUCGGAUCAAAAGAUGUCAACAUAUGGUGGUGUAGUAUGGGCUAGCCUCCGGAUGUUCGAGCGCUCAAACAUAAACGACGAGACAGUUCUAAUUCCAAACUGAAUCUGCGGUUAGUACAGUUCUAAAUAUUGCACUAAAAUAGGCACACAAAAAUUGAGAUAUGGCAAGAAACAGGUUAAUCUAAUGUAAGGAACAUCAAAGAGAACUUUGCUGGUUUUACCUUGAACAACAUGAUUCCAGUAAGCAGCACAGAUUUUCUGAAGCACUUGCACCCGUAAAAAUUAUAACCUGAAAACGAAAUCAAUCUAGGCAGAUUAGAGAGAGAGAGAGAUCACCUUGUUCUAUACUCUUCGUCAAGAUCCUCUCCCUCUCCCUCUCAUCUUCUCUCCUGCUCCUCCACACGCGUCAUGAAGACCACACCAUCCAUUCUCUCCUUCCUUCUAUCUCUCCCUCUCAUCUUCUCUCUCCUACAGAUCGGAUCGAGCGCCGCCGCCAUCUCCCUUUGCCUGCACGUCGUCCUAUCCGUGCUAGUCGGGUGAGGAGGCAAGGGAGGUCGAGUGAGGAGACAGGGGAGGAGGAGGUGGAGGCAGAGGAGACGAGGCAGCCGAGAGGGAGGGAGGAAGCGGCUGCCUGUAGAAGAGGAAUAGGA
rnacentral:rRNA from 1 species